AAAAAAGGGAGACCAGUACCCUAUUCCAAAACGGGGCGAAUUCCGAAAAGCCAUACGAGUAAGAAAGAUU
rnacentral:ncRNA from 1 species